rnacentral:rRNA from 1 species
AUUGAACGCUGGCGGCAGGCCUAACACAUGCAAGUCGAGCGGCUGAAGGGAACUUGCUCCUGGUUUCAGCGGGGGACGGGUGAGUAAUGCCUAGGAAUCUGCCUGGUAGUGGGGGCUAACGUCCGGACACGGGCACUCAUACCCCAUUCGUCCUUAGGACGAAAGGGUGAAAGCUUCGGACCUCCCGCUCUCGGAUGAGCCGAGGUCGGAUUAGCUAGUUGGCGGGGUAAAGGCGUACCCAGGCGACGAUGCGUAGCUGCUCUGAGAGGAUGAUCAGCCACACUGGAACUGAGACACGGUCCAGACUCCUACGGGAGGCAGCAGUGGGGAAUAUUGGACAAUGGGCGCAAGCCUGAUCCAGCCAUACCGCGUGGGUGAAGAAGGCCUUCGGGUUGUAAAGCCCUUUUGUUGGGAAAGAAAAGCAGCAGGUUAAUACCCCGCUGUUCUGACGGUACCCAAAGAAUAAGCACCGGCUAACUUCGUG